rnacentral:rRNA from 1 species
UGCGUAGGCGGAAUAUUAAGUCAGUGGUGAAAUCCUGCGGCUCAACCGUAGAACUGCCAUUGAUACUGAUAUUCUUGAAUGUAGUUGAGGUAGGCGGAAUGUGUAAUGUAGCGGUGAAAUGCUUAGAUAUUACACAGAACACCGAUUGCGAAGGCAGCUUACUAAACUAUGAUUGACGCUGAGGCGCGAAAUCGUGGGGAGCGAACAGGAUUAGAUACCCUGGUAGUCC